GGUCGACUGGUGUAGUGGUUAUCACGUCUGUCUUACAUUCACACCUUGACGGUGUAUUGUGAGGACACAGAAGGUCGCAGGUUCGAUCCCUGCGUCGAUCA
rnacentral:tRNA from 1 species